CUUGCUGUUCAAUGUCUAGAGCAAGAACGUGAUUUGGUGUCAGUAACUGAUUGCCAAGUUCCAUUCAACAUUAUGUCCUGAUUGUAAAUGCAAUACAUUAUACAAAUAUGAAAAGAAAACUCUUGUACGUUUACAUGUACACCCCAAAGUGUCAUGCAUAUCUUCUAAUGCUUUAAUGUUCAAGAAGAGUUAGUAUUUCAAUUAUGAAAAAAACAUAUUUUUAAAGCAGAUUUUUUUUCAGCACAAAAAAAUGUUUUAAGGACCUCGAAUGACCCAGAUGGAGAGUUGUUCUGCUGUUUUCAGGACAUUUUUAUUAUAUUUUAACUUAAAGAUUAAAUUGACACAUAUUAAUUUGAUUUACAGGUGUUUAUUAUCUGAUAUUUUAAUAAACAAGAAUUCCAAUAAAAGUAUCAUAUAUGUAGUUCCAUAAUUUU
rnacentral:sRNA from 1 species